rnacentral:rRNA from 1 species
GGCAAUGGGGGCAACCCUGACCGAGCAACGCCGCGUGAGUGAAGAAGGUUUUCGGAUCGUAAAGCUCUGUUGUAAGAGAAGAACGAGUGUGAGAGUGGAAAGUUCACACUGUGACGGUAACUUACCAGAAAGGGACGGCUAACUACGUGCCAGCAG